rnacentral:rRNA from 1 species
AUGCCAUUUGAAAUCCCUUCAAUCCAAAUGAAAUCUCCAUAUAUGCUCAUUACUUUUUAUUCCUUUUUUAUAUUUUGUGAUUCCUUUUACUUCUGUUUCAUGCGAGCCAUAACACCUUUACUCAUAAUAAAAUAUACAUCAACAGAGUUUUUCUUUAUCAUAAUUUUUUGUGAAUUGUCUGUUUCUUAUGUGUUUGUUUAUUUCCAUUUAUCUGAUCAGCAGAGAUUAAUUGUUCUUUACUUCAGCAAUGGCUUGCCAGGGUGUAUCACUCUAUUGCUAAGCCAGGUCUCCCACAAACAGAGACCAUCCACGUGA